rnacentral:lncRNA from 1 species
AUAUAUUGUGGGAGUAAUAUGGAAAGGCAUUCAUAUAUUCGGAAUCAUACACAUCAGAGCUCGCCAUUGUAGGUCCCAACACAAUCAUUAAUAUACAAAUUCAAAAUUCCUUUUAUAAAAGAAAAUAGAAAAUUAUACAACUUGAAAAGGAGCUAAAAUAAUUAAAGAAAAGUAGAGUCUCAUGCCACUAUCACAUAGCUAGUGAGAGCAGCGUACAACUUCUCUUUCACUAUUUCCCCCUCUGUUAUUUUCAUAUAUGGAAUACAAAAGUAUACCAAUCACAGUAAGCAAAACAUUGAAAAACUUUAAUCUGAAGAAAUAUAUAUAUAUUGAAAUAAAAAUCCCAUCAUAUUGUGCAUUUGAUAAUUUAUUAGGCGCACUUGAAGCCCUUUGGAACCUUCUUGGAGCAAACAUUGAGAAGCAGACUAAGAGAAACGGGAACGUUAAGGUUGAUGCCCAAAACAUUGGCCUUGAUGGCGGUGCAGAGGCACACGGCCGCCUCGAGAUCGGCCAGCCCUUCGAGAAGG